CAACUCCAGGACCUUGUUGGGGUGCAGGACGCCCUUCCCGUCACCCCGGGACGUGGGAAGUGCAGGCCCUGCCGGUCCAAGUCCCCACGAAGGCGCGAGCCCAGCAUUGACCUGCUGCAGGCCUUCGUGGAGCACUGGAAGGGCAUCACGCACUACUACAUCGAGAGCACAGGUGCGGCCUGGCCCUCCCCAGCCCAGGGACCCUGGAGGGAGCGGGGAGGAAGGAGUGUGCAGAGUGUCACCAUUCAGGUGUCCUGGGAAAGGUAACCUGCCCAGUCGUUCAGAAUCGGAGCCGAGUUCACGGAGACAGAGAACCAGACAGACAGAAGACCCAGAGCCCUGGGCCACUCCACUCCUGAUGAUUUAGCUGCUGGUCCCACUCUGACCUUUUAGAAAGAGGCUGUGUGAGGAAGGAGUAGCCUGGUUGGGGGUCUCACUGGCCUGACUCUGCAAGGAAGAGGUGGCUGCACUUCCCCCAGCUUCCAGCUCC
rnacentral:lncRNA from 1 species